rnacentral:rRNA from 1 species
UACGUAGGGGGCAAGCGUUGUCCGGAAUCAUUGGGCGUAAAGCGCGCGUAGGCGGCCCGGUAAGUCCGCUGUGAAAGUCCAGGGCUCAACCCUGGAAAGCCGGUGGAUACUGCCGGGCUAGAGUCCGGAAGAGGCGAGUGGAAUUCCUGGUGUAGCGGUGGAAUGCGCAGAUAUCAGGAGGAACACCAAUUGCGAAGGCAGCUCGCUGGGACGUUACUGACGCUGAGACGCGAAAGCGUGGGGAGCAAACAGG